CCCCUCAAAUUGACUGUGCCUGGUCUAAGGUUUGGUAUUUCUUUAUUUUAUUUUUGUUACUGGAUUUUUAUAUUCUUAGGUUAUUUUAAUGUGCAAGUAGCAAAAUCUUAAGCAGAUCUUGCUUAAAGGAAAGCGAGACUCAUUGCCUUUUAUAAAUUGAAGAGUAGAGGUAAGUGCUGUGGCCUUCAGAAUUCAAAGGGACCGUGGGACCCGUGUCCGUUUCUUGGCCCCGUUUCCUGGUGGUGGCAGCUUGGUCCCAUCCAUCACAGGCAAUAGUGUACCACAUCCUCUCAGUUUCAGGUCUUGCCAGAACAAAAACUCUUGAGUUUUCUUCUUAAGGUCUCCACGAAGAACGUGAACAUAGCUGUCACUGUUUCGGAAGUGAUCACUGUGGCUGGCGUCCGGAAGCAAGGGCAAAGAGUGAUACACAUAACUGGGAAGACACACCCAUCUUAGUCCUUCCCUACAUCAUCAGCCGGGCUAUUAGAGCAACUCGUUCUCCUUCAUUCACCCUAUAGAAGACCCAGGCUGGGGUGGAAGGGAGAUCUGAGUUGUAAAGUCGUUUAUAAUAUAGUCAUCAGGGUCUCAAUGAACAAGCACCACAGAGACUCUAUCAAGAAGUGUAUCUGUCUCCAGAGAACUGUGCUUCUGGUCGUCUACUGACAAGGGGAAGAAGCUGAGGAGGUGAUGUUACCAGAGCUACUUUGCUGGCAUUGGUGAGGAUUCCCAGGAAGGCUUCAGGGUGUUGCCAUGCAGUCCAGAGGCUACUGUCCUCACGUUGAGACUCCCACCAGAGAUACAUCUGCCUGAUUUCUCCUCAUCCUGCAUCAUUCAUGAGGCAAGACCCAGCAACCUCUGCUCACAGGACUGCUUUCCUGUCUUGUAAAGACAACACCUCCAUCUUCCGAAGGUACUCCACUGAGGAAAAUGUCUCUACAUCCCCCAUCAUUCGUUAACUGCUCAAAGAGGGGUAGUGGGGCCUCAAGAGUCCAGCCUUGCUCUACGCCAUGAUGCUUCCGGCUCCAUCUUGUUCAGGCACUAUGUGGGCUGGAGGAAAUGCUCAGUGGAUAAAAGAGCUGGCUGGGGAAACGUGAGGACUGGCGUUCGUACCCCUAGAACCCAUGUACCGGACAAAGGACAAUCAGUCACACGUUGGAUUCCUGGAGUGUUGUGAUAUGGAUUGAGCAUACUCCGUUCAGAGACGCUGAAUGAUCAAUGGAAUAUUUUUGAAAAGCGCAGGCCUCCCCUGGAUAUCAACCGUGCAUAUCAAGCUCUGGGGUGGAACAGCUUUCUGCUUUCCCUUCUCUCACAACGAUGGGCAUUAGCUCACUGCAAGGACUUUCUGAAACCAAAUGUCAUUGAUCAGAUGCUCCACGAGGAGCACGUAGCUUUUGCAGUGCCAUCCUUUACUGAGGACAAGGAAGAAGCAAGAGAAACUACUGGGAAGGAAGAAACGAAAGAAGGCAGAAAAGAAGAGAAUGAAGCAAGGGGGAUGAAUAGACAAGAGACACAUGGACGGAAGGAAGGACGGACAUAAAGUGAGAUAAGUACUGCUGGAUGGUAAUUCAGGGUCAUUAGGAUGAAGCUAUUCCCAUGGCAAGUGUCUUCCUGAGCACCACCCCCUCCUCUCACCACAAAGUGAUAAACCAGCCAGGGGAAAUGAGAGGAGUACAAAUCACUUAGCCAGUACUUAUGGGAUUUUACUUAGACCCCCAUACGUAUUAUGCCAGGAUUAGUGUCAGCCCUCUGAAAAUGCAAAAGCAGUAAGACGACCACAUGGUGUGGACUGUACCCCCCGAUGACUAUUUCAGCCAGCUGUAAUUAUCAUGUUCAUCUGGAAGCUGAGUGGUUCCAGUAAUAGAAAUGGGUCACGGGAAGUGUGGGUUAUUGUCCUGGUAUGUCAUUAUAUGACCUUGGUUGGCCGAGCUCUAGGCCUUGGUUUCUUUAUUUGUUAAAUGUGGACAUGAAUUUCCUGUCCUGACUAUUUCACAGGGGCACUGGGGAGAUGAGGCAUGGAAGGUUAUGUACCCACAUACUUCGAUGAAGAUGAAAUGCCAGGAAAAUGUAAAACUGACCUUGGGCCUUUUCACUUAAAAAAGUGGUGGGUAGGUGGGAGAGGGGGUUGGUAGGAUGGUAUUAUGUGCAGAAGGCUUGGUGACUCAAAGAAGCAUCUUUUUUCUCCCCAGUAAUAUCUAGUCUGGGAUUAUUACUGCUUUCUUGGUGAUUUUCAGGCAUUCCCUUCUCCUUCAGAAACGCCAAAGGAGCAAACACUAUUCUGCUGCUGUAAUUUGUCACCCUUGCAGCCUGAGCAAGAUGCACAGAGACGGUUCAGUAAUUAAGCUUUUCAACGGGCAUCAUAAAGGUUUAUUCUGGCAAAGGCUAUAUUUAUCAGCUAACAAGUAUUAAAUCACCCCACUGCUCAAGCCGUUUCUCACUUGAAUAUGCUCCUUUCAAAACACAGCAGCUUUCCCUGCCUGGCUUGACUAAUAAAAGUCCUCACUUGGAAAUACGGUGGCAAUGUGUGGUCUUGUGAAGUAGACGUGCACCCCAGCACUGUUUUAAGCUUGGUUGACUCCCAUCUUCCUGAGGGGGUAAUGGUGGACUUCUUUGCCCUGCAGUCUUUUAUAGCAUCCUUCCAAUAGCUACUAGAACAUGGACUUCCUUAGCUAUUUCUUCGAAAGGGGAAGAAGCAGGUGGAAGUUCAAAUGCAGCAGGGGUCUUCAGCAUGACUGAAACAGUGAGGUGACAAUGAUCUCGGUUCUGAGGAGGAUGGAGUCUCUGCUCACAUUGGAACAUCUUAACAAAAUUGUAGAAUAAUAUGCUUAGAAUGAACAGCUAUGAAAUAUCUUAGGAAUGUCUUGCAAGAAUGAUUCCACUACUAACCCAUCUCCCUCUUUACAAGUUUUUUCCCUCCCUUGUAGGAUAUAAGUAUUCCAUUGUUCAUAAAGGUUCGAGACAUUUUCUGUCCAAUGACUUCAGAUGUAUAUCUGUUUAAAACAAAAUAGUAAAAACAACUGAAUGAAUUUUUUAGGUAUUUGAAGAGAAAAUAAAGACAAAUAUUAAUCAAACAUGGACAAGAAUCAUGCAAUAAAUCAAUUUUCAUUAUUUUACAUCAGAAACUGCAAUUUAUUUAUCCUUUCUAUGCUUUCAAAUGGAGUGACAUUAGCCAUAUGCAGGCACUUUUGUGUUUUAGUUUUGCCCAUUCAUUGAUAAAAGGCGAGCUAUCCUCACAUGCCAGAAGAACAGAUCCAAAUUUGUUGAUAAACCAGAGGAUUCUGCUAGUGCUUGUGUAGGUAUGCAUUUUGCAUACGUAACAUACACGAAAGUGAAUGUAAUUUAAGCACUACCAAGGGACAAACUCUUUGGAUAAAUGCUUCCUAGUUUAGGAGCUGAGACAAUUAUUUCUUUGCUUUCAAAACGAAAUAGGGGCUGGAGGUGUAUCUCAGUACAUAGGGUACUUGCCUACCAUGCAGAAAGCCCUGGGCUUAGAACCCAGCAUCACAUGAACGGUGCAUGGUGGUUUGGAUGGUUUGAAUGAGAAAGGCACCCAUAUAUUUGGGUGAAAUGGCACAUAUAGUCAAGUGUUUGCUUCCCAGUUGGUGGAACUGUUAGGAAGGACUAGGAAGUAUGUCCUUAUUGGAAGAGGUUUGCCAACUCUAGGAGGGUUUUGAAGUUUCAAAAACCCAUGUCAGUUAGCUCUCUACCUCUUGGUCGUGCCUCAAGAUAUAAGCUCUCAGAUAUUGUCCCAGUGCCAUGCCUGCCUUCCUGCUGCUCCUCGCCAUGAUGGUCAUGGACUCAUUCUCUGAAAUUGUGAGCCCCAAUAAACUCUUUUUGUUCUGCAAGUUGUCUUGUUCAUGCUGCUUCAAUACAGCAACAGGAAAGUAACCAAGAUAGUAGUAUACACAGCAUUUAAGAGGCACAUAUAGGAGGAUAAUAAACUCAAGGUCAUCUUUGGUUAAUAGCAAAUUUGAGGCCAGCCUUAAAUCUUUUAAAAAAUUAUUUAAAAAUUAAAAUUUCAGCUUCUUCUUUUCUUCUUCUUCUUCUUUUCUUCUUCUUCUUCUUCUUCUUCUUCUUCUUCUUCUUCUUCUUCUUCUUCUUCUUCUUCUUCUUCUUCUUCUCCUUCUCCUUCUCCUUCUCCUUCUCCUUCUCCUUCUCCUUCUCCUUCUUCUUCCUCCUCCUCCUCCUCCUCCUCUUCUUCUUCUUCAUCAUCAUCAUCAAUCAUCAAAAAAUAAAAUUACACCAUUUUCCCCUUCCCCUUUCCUUCCUCAAACUCCUCUCUUAUCCAAUCUCCACUCUCAAUUUCAUGGUCUCUUGUCUUCAUAUAUUGUUACGUGUAUGUAUAAAUACAUAAAUAAUACUUGCUAAGUCUGUUGUUUAGUAUUGCUUUCUGGUUGUGAUCUCAGAGCUGACCACUUGGAAUUGAUAAUCAGGUAGGAGGCUUCCCUCUGGGAAAUACCAAUUUUCUGUCUCUCGGCAUUCCUUAGUUUACUGUGGCUCAGUGUUCAGGGGUGGGGCUCCAUGGGAUUCCCCUAUCAUGUCUAUUGGUGUCCUUGUUCAGGUCUCAUUUAGACAGUCACACUAUUGAGGUAUCAUGGGCAUAUCUUCCCUGUUAUUUCUAGGAGACACAAUUUCACAGCAGAUUUCUUGGUCUUUUGGCUUUUACAAUCUUUCUGCCUCCUCUGAUGUUCCCUGAGCUUUAGGAACAGCCAUUGUAUUGUAGUUGUAGCCCCAGGGGCCAAGCACCUCAUGAUCAGUUGCUCUUAGCAUUUUGGCCAGUUGUAGUUUUCAGUGGUCUCCAUCUGACAAAGAAAGACUUCCUUGAUGAGGGAUAAAUACAGUUCAGAUGAAGUUAUGCUAUUUAGGCAGGCAAUGCUACUACAAGAGCCAUAGACUAACAACAAAACACCUCCAGCCAUGGGAAAAAUCCCAUUUGAAUUGUUGGCCAGGGGAAUCCCUAAACACUAUAUCCUAUUGUUGUUGCCCUUUGCUGCCUCCGGAGAUUGAAGGCGAGACUCUGUUGUUGAAGACACUAUACACUUUGGAAGUAGGACAUAGAAGAUAAGGGUAGGGUCUGGCCUGAACGUCUCCUCCGUGAGACGAGUUCUCACAGUACUGGAAGGUGCUAUGUAAGCUGGCCAAAAGGAGACGGAAGGAAUCACUAGUCGUCUCUGUUUGUGAUACCCAUGAACACAGCAAUGAUCAGCAAGGCACGAUAUCCCCAAGGCUGCAAUAGAAGCAGUCCUAUCGUGGUAGUAACCAACUGCUGUCUAAUAGGACUCAAACCGUCUCAGCAAGAUGAAACUCAUGUCUAAUACUGGAAACUUAGCGGACUCCCCAGAUUUCAUAAGGUUAUAGAUUUUAGAGAAGAGCCCAUGACUACCACUUUACUACACGAGCAUGACUUAUAACAGGAUUAGCAACAUUUAACCUUACACCCACACAAUCUAUUUUUAAAAGGCAAAAAUAGCAUUAUUUUGCUUUCCAAAUUAACAACACACAGCUUGCUUGAAAAUCUUAGGUUCAAUUUCUCUCAAGCCAGCCAUCAUGGGACCAAACCCUGAAGUACAUGGGUGACAUGCCAAACUGCUAUGUUAGGGACUAUUGAGUGGUUUGAAAUGUAUCUAUUUUCUGUUUAGGAGGGUUUUUGUUGAACAACAGGAAAUUCAUUAUCUAUGACAUAGUCCGAGUACCAUAACGGACAGCAGCAGCCACAGGGGACCUGGUGUUAAAGAUUGAUAGACUUCCUCUCAGUUUCUGUUUAACUUUUAUCUCACAUGUGAAGACUGGAGUUUGCCUUAAGGGUAAAAAAGCAUUGUGUGACUUGAAAAAUGAAGAUGAUUCAUGUCAUUUUUCUGACAACCUACAGGGGGUCCCUUUGUGGCUCGAGCAGUUCUUCAAACUGUAGUCUAUGGGACUGACUACUCAGAGUCUUAAUAACUCAGAAAGUAAACGAGAAACAGAAGUUAUUUCAUGUUUUGGAGAAAUCUUGCAUUUCAAUUAUAUGUGUGAGGCUGUAAGAUGAGGUUUGGUAGUGAUUGUUGAAAACUGAAGUUUUCAAAUGGAUAAUAAAGGUUUCCCAUGAAAGAGAACUUUGAUUUAGAAUAAUUCUGGAGCUGGGUUAUUUGUGACUUAUAAGCACCAUUUUGCUUCCAUAAGGCUUGAUAAUGAAAAGUCAGAAAAUUGGGGAAGAAGUAGUCUAAGAAAUUAUCAUUCUUUUAUGGGUGGUAGCUAUCAAUUAUAAUAGUUUUUAUAUUUCAUAUUAAAAAUGACAGAACAUGAAGACAUUUUCCCAAACAAUUUCUCUCCAUAGAAAGGAAAAUAGAACAAUUAAUAAUAUGAUUGUGAAAACAAAAAUCGCAAAGUAACUGUAGAAAACAAAAACACAGACACUAAAUAUAACUCUUUAAAGCUUCCACGACACUCAGGGCAGAGGCAACGCAGCCAUCGAAGUUGGAGUGAGUGAAUCCAUCCCCUCCACACACCAGGAAAGGGUUGAGAUGAAGAGUCAUCUGGCCGGGACUGUUGGCAGCUGAGUUUGUAACCUGAAGAAGAAAAAGAAAGAGAAAAAAAUUAUUGGGGCUGACAUUCAGCCAUGGUAAUGCCCACCAGGCUUUUGCUACCUGGAGAAAUUAAAACCUAGAAUAUCCCAGAGGUUCCUCUUGUCAAAAUACUUAAAAUUAUUUCAAUUAUCAAAUAACUGAAAAUGUACCAAUUCUCUGGAUUUGUAGAUACUAUGGCUUGAAUGCUUAUUGACCAUCUCCAAAUUCCUGUGUGCACUCCUAUGCUAGAGAGUUUUAUGCCGACUUGACACAAACUAAAGUCAUCUGAGAAGAAAAAAACCUCAAUUAACAAUAACCUGGGCUUGUGUGACAGUGACCUGGGAUAAGGCAGGCACCCAAGAACCAAUGGGGGUGACCUUAGUUGUGACUCACAGCAUUGGGAAUAUGGAGCCUGAAGAGGCUACCUCCUGUAUUCCAGUAGGAACCCCAGUGGAGAAAUAGGGACACCAAUCCACCCAUAAAACUUUUGACCCAAAAUUUAUUCUGUCUAUAAGCAAUACAGGGAUGGGGGAUAGAGGAGAGACCGAGGGGACCAAUAGCCAGCCCAACUUGAGACCUAUUACAGGGGCAAACACCAAUCCCUGACACUAUGACACUAUUAAUGAUACUCUGCUAUGCUUGUAGACAGGAGUCUAGCAUGGCUGUCCUCUGAGAGGCUCCACCCAGCAGCUGACUCAGACAGGUGCAGACACCCACAGCCAAACAGUGGAUGGAGCUUGGGGACUCUUAUGGAAGAAUAGGGGGAAGGACUGUGGGCCCUGAAGGGUAUAGGAACUUCACAGGACCAAUAGAGUCAACUAACUUGGACCCUUGGGGCUCUCACAGAGUGAACCAUCCAAAGAGCAUACAUGGGCUGGACCUAGGCUUCUCCACUCAUAUGUAGCAGAUGUGCAACCUAACCUUCAUGUGGGUCCCAAAUGACUGGAGUGGGGGCUCUCCCAAAAGCUGUUGCCUAUCUGUGGGAUAUGUUCUUCUAGCUGGGCUGCCUUGUCUGACCUUAGUGGGAGAGGGUAGGCUUAGCCAUGCAGAGGCUUGAAGUGCCAGGGUGGUAGAUAUUUAGGGGCCCCCACCUGCUAGAGGAGAAGGGAUGGAUGGGGGAAGGAUUAUGGGAGGGGGAGGCUGGGAAGCAGGCAGUUGGUGGGAUGUAAAGUGAAUAAGCACAAACAAACAAACAAACAAACAAACAAGGAAUAACCUGGGCUUAUAGGGACCCAGAGAGAUGGAACUGCAAAACAGAGAGUGUGUAUGGGAUGGACCUAGGCUCUUAGCACAUACAUAAGUUGUGCAGCUAGGUUUUUAUGGGGGACUCCUAACAGCAGGAGCAGAGGCUGUAUCUGACUCUGUUGCCUGCCUUUGAAUCACUUUCAGCUAACUGGGCUGCCUUACUUUGCCACAAUGGGAGAAGAUGCACCUAAUUCUACUGGAACUCAGCAUGCCAAGGGAAACUCAAGACGGAUGAUCAAAAUGUGCAUGCUUCACUCCUUCUUUAAAUGAGGAAAAAGAAUACCCUUGGCAGGGAAGGGAGAGGCAAAGAUUAAAACAGAGACUGAAGGAACACCCAUUCAGAGCCUGCCCCACAUGUGGCCCAUACAUAUACAGCCACCCAAUUAGACAAGAUGGAUGAAGCAAAGAAGUGCAGACCGACAGGAGCCGGAUGUAGAUCGCCCCUGAGAGACACAGCCAGAAUAUAGCAAACACAGAGGCGAAUGCCAGCAGCAAACCACUGAAUUGAGAAUAGGUCCCCUGUUGAAGGAAUCAAAGAAAGAACUGGAAGAGCUUGAAGGGGCUCGAGACCCCAAAAGUACAACAAUGCCAAGCAACCAGAGCUUCCAGGGACUAAGCCACUACCUAAAGACUAUACAUGGACUGACCCUGGACUCUGACCCCAUAGGUAGCAAUGCAUAUCCUAGUAAGAGCACCAGUGGAAGGGGAAGCCCUGGGUCCUGCUAAGACUGAACCCCCAGUGAACUAGUCUACGGGGGGAGGGCGGCAAUGGGGGGAGGGUUGGGAGGGGAACACCCAUAAGGAAGGGGAGGGGGGAGGGGGAUGUUUGCCCGGAAACCGGAAAAGGGAAUAACACUCGAAAUGUAUAUAAGAAAUACUCAAGUUAAUAAAAAAAACAAAAAAACAAA